rnacentral:rRNA from 1 species
UUAGAGUUUGAUCCUGGCUCAGGACGAACGCUGGCGGCGUGCUUAAGACAUGCAAGUCGAACGGGGUCCAUCCUUCGGGAGAAGACCUAGUGGCGAACGGGUGAGUAACACGUGAGGAACCUGCCCCAAAGACAGGGAUAAGCGAGGGAAACUUCGUCUAAUACCUGAUGUCUUCUUUGCAACUCAUGUUGCGUAGAAGAAAUGAUUUAUCGCUUUGGGAGGGCCUCGCGGCCUAUCAGCUUGUUGGUGGGGUAACGGCCUACCAAGGCGUCGACGGGUAGCUGGUCUGAGAGGAUGAUCAGCCACACUGGGACUGAGAUACGGCCCAGACUCCUACGGGAGGCAGCAGUUAGGAAUCUUGCGCAAUGGGCGAAAGCCUGACGCAGCAACGCCGCGUGAGGGAUGAAGGCUCUCGGGUUGUAAACCUCUUUCAGCAGGAACGAAGUUGACGGUACCUGCAGAAGAAGCUCCGGCCAACUACGUGCCAGCAGCCGCGGUAAUACGUAGGGAGCAAGCGUUGUCCGGAUUUAUUGGGCGUAAAGAGCUCGUAGGCGGCUUAGCAAGUCGGGUGUGAAAACUCCAGGCUCAACCUGGAGACGCCACUCGAUACUGCUAUGGCUUGAGUUCGGUAGGGGACCAUGGAAUUCCUGGUGUAGCGGUGAAAUGCGCAGAUAUCAGGAGGAACACCGAUGGCGGAGGCAGUGGUCUGGGCCGAAACUGACGCUGAGGAGCGAAAGCGUGGGUAGCGAACAGGAUUAGAUACCCUGGUAGUCCACGCCGUAAAACGUUGGGUACUAGGUGUGGGAGAUAACCAAUGUCUUCCGUGCCGCAGCUAACGCAUUAAGUACCCCGCCUGGGGAGUACGGUCGCAAGACUAAAACUCAAAGGAAUUGACGGGGGCCCGCACAAGCGGCGGAGCAUGUCGCUUAAUUCGAUGCAACGCGAAAAACCUCACCUAGGUUUGACAUGCAGGGAAAAGCCACAGAGAUGUGGUGUCCUUCGGGGCCCUGCACAGGUGGUGCAUGGCUGUCGUCAGCUCGUGUCGUGAGAUGUUGGGUUAAGUCCCGCAACGAGCGCAACCCUUGUCCUGUGUUGCCAGCGCGUAAUGGCGGGGACUCACAGGAGACUGCCGGGGUCAACUCGGAGGAAGGUGGGGACGAGGUCAAGUCUUCAUGCCCCUUACACCUAGGGCUGCAGACAUGCUACAAUGGCUGGUACAAAGGGCUGCGAGAUCGCGAGGUUGAGCGAAUCCCAUAAAGCCAGUCUCAGUUCGGAUUGGAGUCUGCAACUCGACUCCAUGAAGCUGGAGUCGCUAGUAAUCCCGGAUCAGCAUUGCCGGGGUGAAUACGUUCCCGGGCCUUGU